rnacentral:rRNA from 1 species
AGGCAGCAGUGGGGAAUAUUGGGCAAUGGGCGCAAGCCUGACCCAGCAACGCCGCGUGAAGGAAGAAGGCUUUCGGGUUGUAAACUUCUUUUGUCAGGGACGAAGCAAGUGACGGUACCUGACGAAUAAGCCACGGCUAACUACGUGCC